AGAGUUUGAUCCUGGCUCAGAACGAACGCUGGCGGCAGGCCUAACACAUGCAAGUCGAACGCAUCCUUCGGGGUGAGUGGCAGACGGGUGAGUAACGCGUGGGAACGUGCCCAUCGGUUUGGGAUAACCCAGGGAAACUUGGGCUAAUACCGGAUACGCCCUUUUUGGGGAAAGAUUUAUCGCCAAAGGAUCGGCCCGCGUCUGAUUAGCUAGUUGGUGAGGUAAUGGCUCACCAAGGCGACGAUCAGUAGCUGGUCUGAGAGGAUGAUCAGCCACACUGGGACUGAGACACGGCCCAGACUCCUACGGGAGGCAGCAGUGGGGAAUAUUGGACAAUGGGCGUAAGCCUGAUCCAGCCAUGCCGUGUGAGUGAUGAAGGCCCUAGGGUUGUAAAGCUCUUUUGUCCGGGACGAUAAUGACGGUACCGGAAGAAUAAGCCCCGGCUAACUUCGUGCCAGCAGCCGCGGUAAUACGAAGGGGGCUAGCGUUGCUCGGAAUCACUGGGCGUAAAGGGCGCGUAGGCGGCCAUUCAAGUCGGGGGUGAAAGCCCAGGGCUCAACCCUGGAAUUGCCUUCGAUACUGUUUGGCUAGAGACCGGAAGAGGUUGGUGGAACUGCGAGUGUAGAGGUGAAAUUCGUAGAUAUUCGCAAGAACACCAGUGGCGAAGGCGGCUAACUGGUCCGGUUCUGACGCUGAGGCGCGAAAGCGUGGGGAGCAAACAGGAUUAGAUACCCCCGUAGUCC
rnacentral:rRNA from 2 species